UGCCAGAGUCUUUGAUUCCAAGAUGACAAAGAGAAGAAGGAACAACGGACGUGCCAAGAAGGGACGUCGACAUGUCCAGCCCAUCCG